rnacentral:rRNA from 1 species
CGUACAAGCAGUGGGAGCACCCUUUGGGGUGUGACUGCGUACCUUUUGUAUAAUGGGUCAGCGACUUAUAUUCUGUAGCAAGGUUAACCGAAUAGGGGAGCCGGAGGGAAACCGAGUCUUAAUUGGGCGUUAAGUUGCAGGGUAUAGACCCGAAACCCGGUGAUCUAGCCAUGGGCAGGUUGAAGGUUGGGUAACACUAACUGGAGGACCGAACCGACUAAUGUUGAAAAAUUAGCGGAUGACCUGUGGCUGGGGGUGAAAGGCCAAUCAAACCGGGAGAUAGCUGGUUCUCCCCGAAAGCUAUUUAGGUAGCGCCUCGUGAAUUCAUCUCCGGGGGUAGAGCACUGUUUCGGCUAGGGGGCCAUCCCGGCUUACCAACCCGAUGCAAACUGCGAAUACCGGAGAAUGUUAUCACGGGAGACACACGGCGGGUGCUAACGUCCGUCGUGAAGAGGGAAACAACCCAGACCGCCAGCUAAGGUCCCAAAGUCAUGGUUAAGUGGGAAACGAUGUGGGAAGGCCCAGACAGCCAGGAUGUUGGCUUAGAAGCAGCCAUCAUUUAAAGAAAGCGUAAUAGCUCACUGGUCGAGUCGGCCUGCGCGGAAGAUGUAACGGGGCUAAACCAU